CAGGCCUAACACAUGCAAGUCGAACGAACUCUUCGGAGUUAGUGGCGGACGGGUGAGUAACACGUGGGAACGUGCCUUUAGGUUCGGAAUAACUCAGGGAAACUUGUGCUAAUACCGAAUGUGCCCUUCGGGGGAAAGAUUUAUCGCCUUUAGAGCGGCCCGCGUCUGAUUAGCUAGUUGGUGAGGUAAAGGCUCACCAAGGCGACGAUCAGUAGCUGGUCUGAGAGGAUGAUCAGCCACAUUGGGACUGAGACACGGCCCAAACUCCUACGGGAGGCAGCAGUGGGGAAUCUUGCGCAAUGGGCGAAAGCCUGACGCAGCCAUGCCGCGUGAAUGAUGAAGGUCUUAGGAUUGUAAAAUUCUUUCACCGGGGACGAUAGUGACGGUACCCGGAGAAGAAGCCCCGGCUAACUUCGUGCCAGCAGCCGCGGUAAUACGAAGGGGGCUAGCGUUGCUCGGAAUUACUGGGCGUAAAGGGAGCGUAGGCGGACAUUUAAGUCAGGGGUGAAAUCCCGGGGCUCAACCUCGGAAUUGCCUUUGAUACUGGGUGUCUUGAGUAUGAGAGAGGUGUGUGGAACUCCGAGUGUAGAGGUGAAAUUCGUAGAUAUUCGGAAGAACACCAGUGGCGAAGGCGACACACUGGCUCAUU
rnacentral:rRNA from 1 species